rnacentral:rRNA from 1 species
GAGUAAUGCAUAGGAAUCUGCCCGGUAGUGGGGGAUAACGUGGGGAAACCCACGCUAAUACCGCAUACGUCCUACGGGAGAAAGCGCCGAGGAUCUUCGGACUUCGCGCUAUCGGAUGAGCCCUUAUUGUUCGGGGAAUUAAAGCUUAAGUUUGGGUAAAAGGGUAACGGCGUUUUUAACCCAAAGGGGCGGACGAAUCCCGUAAGGCUGGGUCUGGAAGAAGGAUGUAUCCAGCCACCCACCUGGGGAACUGGAGACACCGGGCCCCCAGACUUCCUUACGGGGAAGGCCAGCAGUGGGGGAAUUAUUGGACCAAUGGGGCGAAAAGCCCUGAUUCCAAGCCCAUGCCCGCCGUGUGUGAAAGAAAGGCUUUUCGGGGUUGUAAAAGCACUUUUCAGGCGAGGGAAGAAAAGCCUCUUGGGGUUAAUACCCCCAGAAGGAAAGGACAUUCACUCCGCAGAAGGAAGCACCGGGCUAACUUCCGUGCCCAGCAGCCCGCGGUAAUACCGGAAGGGUGCGAAGCGUUAAUCGGAAUUUACUGGGGCGUAAAGGCGCGCGUAGGUGGCCUUGGCACGCCCGGUUGUGAAAGCCCCCGGGCUCAACCUGGGAACGGCAUCCGGAACGGCCAGGCUAGAGUGCAGGAGAGGAAGGUAGAAUUCCCGGUGUAGCGGUGAAAUGCGUAGAGAUCGGGAGGAAUACCAGUGGCGAAGGCGGCCUUCUGGCCUGACACUGACACUGAGGUGCGAAAGCGUGGGUAGCAAACAGGAUUAGAUACCCUGGUAGUCCACGCCGUAAACGAUGUCGACUAGCCGUUGGGACCUUUAAGGACUUAGUGGCGCAGUUAACGCGAUAAGUCGACCGCCUGGGGGAGUACGGCCGCAAGGUUAAAACUCAAAUGAAUUUGACGGGGGGCCCGCACAAGCGGUGGGAGCAUGUGGGUUUAAUUUCGAUGCAACGCGGAAGAACCUUUACCUACCCCUGGACAUCCAGAAGAACUUUUCCAGAAGAUGGAUUGGGUGCCCUUCGGGGACUUCUGAAAACAGGGUGCUGGCAUGGGCUGUCCGUUCAGCUUCGUGUUGGUGAAAAUGUUUGGGGUUUAAGUCCCCGUAACCGAGGCGGCAACCCCUUGGUCCCUUAUUUUGCCCAGGCGAAUUUCGGUUCGGGGAAACUUCUUAAGGGAAAACUGGCCCGGUGGACCAAACCCGGGAAGGAAAGGUGGGGGGAACAAACGUUCCAAGUUCAUUCAGGGGGCCCCUUAACGGGGGUAGGGGGCUUACCACGUGCUACCGUGGCCUUACCAUUGGGGCCCGGGGUACCAAAAAGGGGUUCGUGUCCCAAAAAGCCGGCCUCAGUCCGGAUCGGAGUCUGCAACUCGACUCCGUGAAGUCGGAAUCGCUAGUAAUCGUGAAUCAGAAUGUCACGGUGAAUACGUUCCCGGGCCUUGUACACACCGCCCGUC